GACACUUUGGCCGAGUGGUUAAGGCAGGCCUGCUAUUCACCAGUGUUCUGACCGGUCUAGCUAGCCUGUUGGUUUGCCCGCCUGGGUUCGAGUCCCAGAGGUGUCG